rnacentral:tRNA from 1 species
GCCUCCAUAGCUCAGUGGUUAGAGCACUGGUCUUGUAUACCAGGGGUCGGGAGUUCGAUCCGCCUUGGUGGCG